GACGUAGGGCGCGAGCGUUGUCCGGAUUUAUUGGGCGUAAAGGGCUCGUAGGCGGUUUGUCGCGUCGGGAGUGAAAUCCACUGGCUUAACUGGUGGCUUGCUUUCGAUACGGGCAGACUGGAGGUAUGCAGGGGAGAACGGAAUUCCUGGUGUAGCGGUGAAAUGCGCAGAUAUCAGGAGGAACACCGGUGGCGAAGGCGGGUCUCUGGGCCGAUAUUGACGCUGAGGAGCGAAAGCGUGGGAGCGAACAGG
rnacentral:rRNA from 1 species